rnacentral:rRNA from 1 species
GACGAACGCUGGCGGCGUGCUUAACACAUGCAAGUCUAACGGAAAGGCCCUGCUUUUGUGGGGUGCUCGAGUGGCGAACGGGUGAGUAACACGUGAGUAACCUGCCCUUGACUUUGGGAUAACUUCAGGAAACUGGGGCUAAUACCGGAUAGGAGCUCCUGCUGCAUGGUGGGGGUUGGAAAGUUUCGGCGGUUGGGGAUGGACUCGCGGCUUAUCAGCUUGUUGGUGGGGUAGUGGCUUACCAAGGCUUUGACGGGUAGCCGGCCUGAGGGGGUGACCGGCCACAUUGGGACUGAGAUACGGCCCAGACUCCUACGGGAGGCAGCAGUGGGGAAUAUUGCACAAUGGGCGGAAGCCUGAUGCAGCAACGCCGCGUGCGGGAUGACGGCCUUCGGGUUGUAAACCGCUUUCGCCUGUGACGAAGCGUGAGUGACGGUAAUGGGUAAAGAAGCACCGGCUAACUACGUGCCAGCAGCCGCGGUGAUACGUAGGGUGCGAGCGUUGUCCGGAUUUAUUGGGCGUAAAGGGCUCGUAGGUGGUUGAUCGCGUCGGAAGUGUAAUCUUGGGGCUUAACCCUGAGCGUGCUUUCGAUACGGGUUGACUUGAGGAAGGUAGGGGAGAAUGGAAUUCCUGGUGGAGCGGUGGAAUGCGCAGAUAUCAGGAGGAACACCAGUGGCGAAGGCGGUUCUCUGGGCCUUUCCUGACGCUGAGGAGCGAAAGCGUGGGGAGCGAACAGGCUUAGAUACCCUGGUAGUCCACGCUGUAAACGGUGGGUACUAGGUGUGGGGUCCAUUCCACGGGUUCCGUGCCGUAGCUAACGCUUUAAGUACCCCGCCUGGGGAGUACGGCCGCAAGGCUAAAACUCAAAGGAAUUGACGGGGCCCCGCACAAGCGGCGGAGCAUGCGGAUUAAUUCGAUGCAACGCGUAGAACCUUACCUGGGUUUGACAUGGAUCGGGAGUGCUCAGAGAUGGGUGUGCCUCUUUUGGGGUCGGUUCACAGGUGGUGCAUGGCUGUCGUCAGCUCGUGUCGUGAGAUGUUGGGUUAAGUCCCGCAACGAGCGCAACCCUUGUUCACUGUUGCCAGCACGUUAUGGUGGGGACUCAGUGGAGACCGCCGGGGUCAACUCGGAGGAAGGUGGGGAUGACGUCAAGUCAUCAUGCCCCUUAUGUCCAGGGCUUCACGCAUGCUACAAUGGCUGGUACAGAGAGUGGCGAGCCUGUGAGGGUGAGCGAAUCUCGGAAAGCCGGUCUCAGUUCGGAUUGGGGUCUGCAACUCGACCUCAUGAAGUCGGAGUCGCUAGUAAUCGCAGAUCAGCAACGCUGCGGUGAAUACGUUCCCGGG